UUUGACUGAUGAUGAUAUGUAUCAAGUUGGCGUCUCCGAAUUCUCCACUUCUUCUCUGUACUACAUUAAACUCAGAAUCGAUUUUUGUUUGUUUUGGAAAACUCACAAACGCUUUUGUAUCUGUGAAUAAGAAGAAUCUGUCUCUUGAUCAUGGCAGAGAAGAAGGAGAAGCUGAAGCUCUACUCUUACUGGAAAAGCUCGUGCUCACACCGUGUCCGUAUCGCCCUCACUUUAAAAGGGAUUGAAUAUGAGUACGUACCAGUGAAUCCCCUCAAGAGAGAUGAAUUCUUGAAGAUCAAUCCAAUGGGUGCUGUACCAGCGCUUGUUGAUGGAGACGUUGUGGUUUCUGAUUCUCUUGCCAUCAUAAUGUAUCUAGAUGAGAAGUAUCCUGAGCCACCUCUCUUACCUCGCGACCUCCACAAACGUGCUGUAAACUACCAGGCAGCGAGUAUUGUGUUCUCUGGCAUACAGCCUUAUCAAAAUACGCCUGUUGCUAGGUAUAUUGAGGAGAAGACAAAUGCUGAGGAGAAAACUGCUUGGGUCAGUAACGCUAUCACAAAAGGAUUCACUGCUCUCGAGAAGCUGUUGGUUAGCUGCACUGGAAAAUAUGCGACUGGCGAUGAAGUUUACUUGGCUGAUCUCUUUCUAGCCCCACAAAUCCAUGCAGCUAUCAACAGAUUCCAGAUUAACAUGGAACCGUACCCAACACUUGCAAAAUGUUACGAGUCAUACAAUGAUCUUCCUGCGUUUCAAAACGCAGUCCCAGAGAAGCAGCCUGAUGCUCCUGCUUCCACAAGCUGAUUCUGUCUACCGUAGUAACUAGUAAACUACUCUCAGCUCAAUAAAUACCUCACAGACAGUCAUGAGUUUCACGGACUUUACAGUCUUGGUCCGUAAGAUACACAUCUUUCGACCCAAGAUAUUUCUAGUAUACACCACAAGUACUUCGGAAUCUAUACCUCAAGAACAAUUGAAGGUGCUGCUCAAUAUGUCUGCGCGUAUUCAAGUUGCCUCAACCCAAGGUAAGAUGUCACAGUUUGUUAUAUUAUAUUGUAAUUUUUUGUUUAAGAAUGCUUAAUUGAGUUCUUGCAUUAGAGCACUCAAAUUAACAGUUUCUUAACAAAAAGUUAUUAGUUUAUCUUUAAUAUUUAAAUAUUCAUUUAAAAACUUUAAA